rnacentral:misc_RNA from 1 species
UGGCCUUGACAUGCCAGGAACCCUGGAGAGAUCCGGGGGUGCCUUCGGGAGCCUGGACACAGGUGCUGCAUGGCUGUCGUCAGCUCGUGUCGUGAGAUGUUGGGUUAAGUCCCGCAACGAGCGCAACCCUUGUCGCUAAUUGCCAUCAUUUGGUUGGGCACUUUAGCGAGACUGCCGGUGACAAACCGGAGGAAGGUGGGGAUGACGUGUCGCAACUAACCA